rnacentral:tRNA from 1 species
GGUGUAGUUUAGUAGCAGAGCAUGUGUUUUGGAUGCACCAGGCCCUGGGUUCAACUCCCAGCAUC